UACAGAGGGUGCGAGCGUUGUCCGGAAUCACUGGGCGUAAAGGGCGCGUAGGUGGCGCUCCAAGUCCGUGGUGAAAGCUCGAUGCUUAACAUCGAGUCGGCCACGGAGACUGGAGGGCUCGAGCACUGUAGGGGGCAGAUGGAAUUCCGGGUGUAGCGGUGGGAAUGCGUAGAGAUCCGGAAGAACACCGGUGGCGAAGGCGGGGUCUCUGGGCC
rnacentral:rRNA from 1 species